GCUCUGCUGGCCUAGUGAUUAGAGCGUCCACCUCGGAUGCGGGAGGAUGUGGGUUCGAACCCCUGCCGAGUCA